ensembl:lncRNA
CUCAUAGUCAUUUCUUCACACCAACAUACAUGAUAAAAAACAAAAACUCUCUUAAAUGAAGAAAUGACAUAUGUGGAAAUUUGACAGUGGCAGAUGCUGAAUGUGGUGGAGAAUGGAAAAACGCAACAAACUGGUUCAGGUCUUAUUCAUCUUCCUCAUUCAAUGUAUAAUAGCAUCAAAGGAUGAAGGGUUAGUAAAUGCUACCAGUUUGUGGGGGAAGAAGAUAGAUUUCAUGCAGAAGGACUGUAGUUUCUGGUUGCUGAAAAAUGAACGCAAAAUUCCUUCCUUGAAUGAGCUCAGUGUGUGUGUGAACAUAAAGAGGAAGCUCAGCAAUUCAUACUGGACCGCGUUCACGUAUCUGCACCCUAAUAAGACACGCAUAGAGCUUGGGCUGAAGGGAUUUGGAACAGAACUCCAUGUCAUAAUGUUUGGGAGAGUCUGGACCAAAUCUUCAGUGGUGUCCUUGGACAACUGGCAUUCAAUAUGCAUGACCUGGUCCAACUCCAUGACUGAGCCAAAAGUCUACAUCAAUGGAACCAAAGUAGAAUUAAAACCACAGUCUAAAGGAACGGCUCUGCAUCCUAACUGCUGUAGCGUGGCCGCCGGUGGCACUCUGACUUUAGCUGUGGCCCACAAUUUUGUGAAGAACAAGAUAAGCAUCGAGACGGGCACUGAACUGAAGGGCAGCUUAAGUCUAUUCAGGGUGUGGAAACGAGCACGCAGCGCUCAAGACAUAUCCACGAUGGCCUGCACUGAUGGGGAUAUGCUGCAUUGGGAGAAACGAAUCUGGAACAAAGCCGAAGACUGUAAGCCUAUACAAGACCUUACGCAAAAGUGCGACUGGCCUUUUUAUGAAGUAAAAUUAGUGCUUAUCAUCAUUCGUGAGGAUGGAAACAAAACAAACAUUUACGAUGCCCGAGAAGUUGCUCAUCAGUGGCCUAUAUCUUUCCUCUCUCCAAGUUGACACAAGCAUUACAAGAAUGGCCAAAUCCUGUACAUUUGCAUAAAGUGAAAGUGUUUCCUAUAGGAAGUACUCUUACACGCUCCAAUGGAAGUGCAAAGGGGGGAACCAUGCAACAGUUUGCCACCAGUCCUGGACUCAGCCAGUGAUAAUCUCUUCUCAUUUGCUUCUUAUCUCCUUUCUAAAAGAACUGUCACAAUCUGCAAGAGCUUGCCUUUCAUUAAUUUGUUUUGCCAUAUUUAUUUACCUUUCA